AUGGCUCAGUGAGGCCUUGGGAUUGGCCAGGGGAGAUGGGCGACCAUCACCCCAGGCCGAAAACUUGGUCAAACUUGGUCAUUUAGAGGAAGUAAAAGUCGUAACAAGGUUUCCGUAGGUGAACCUGCGGAAGGAUCAUUACCGAGUUAGGGUCCGCCUCUCCGGGCGCCCGACCUCCCAACCCUUUGUCUAAUUUACCUUGUCGUUGCUUCGGCGGACCGGUUGACCAACUGGUCUUGACCGCCGGGGGUGUCACCACCCCGGGAGAGCGUCCGCCGACGGCCCAACCACAAAACUCUUGUACCAAACCAUGUCGUCUGAAUUAUACUUGAUUAAAAUCAAAAAAACAAAACUUUCAACAACGGAUCUCUUGGUUCUGGCAUCGAUGAAGAACGCAGCGAAAUGCGAUAAGUAAUGCGAAUUGCAGAAUUUCCGUGAGUCAUCGAAUCUUUGAACGCACAUUGCGCCCACUGGUAUUCCGGUGGGCAUGCCUGUUCGAGCGUCAUUAUCCUCCCUCAAACCCCGGGUUUGGUGUUGGACCCACGUUGUGAGUGAACAACUGGUCCCAAAGACAAUGACGGCGUCCGUGGGACCCUCGGUGCAACGAGCUUUCCGGAGCACGCGUCGAGUUUCAAGGUUCUUCCGGGCCGGUCUCCUUCUAUUUUACUUCUAAGGUUGACCUCGGAUCAGGUAGGAAUACCCGCUGAACUUAAGCAUAUCAAUAAGCGGAGGAAAAGAAACCAACAGGGAUUGCCUCAGUAACGGCGAGUGAAGCGGCAACAGCUCAAAUUUGAAAUCUGGCCUUACGGUCCGAGUUGUAAUUUGUAGAGGAUGUUUUGGGUACCGCCGCGGUUUAAAUUUCUUGGAACAGAAUGUCAAAGAGGGUGAGAGUCCCGUCUUGGAUCGCGGUAGGGCCUGUGUAAAACUCCUUCGACGAGUCGACUUGUUUGGGAAUGCAGGUCAAAAUGGGUGGUAAAUUUCAUCUAAAGCUAAAUAUUGGCCAGAGACCGAUAGCGCACAAGUAGAGUGAUCGAAAGAUGAAAAGCACUUUGAAAAGAGAGUUAAACAGUAUGUGAAAUUGUUGAAAGGGAAGCGCUGGCAAUCAGACUCGUGCGCGGGGUUCCCCCUUGCUUCUGCUUGGGUCACUUCCCCGUGUCCGGGCCAUCAUCAGUUUUGGGGGUCGGUUAAAGGCCCCGGGAAUGUACCUACUCCUCCGGGGGUAGACUUAUAGCCCGGGGUGUCAUGCGACCACCCGGGACUGAGGAACGCGCUUCGGCGAGGAUGAUGGCGUAAUGGUUGUCAGCGACCCGUCUUGAAACACGGACCAAGGAGUCUAACAUCUAUGCGAGUGUUCGGGUGUCAAACCCUUGCGCGGAAUGAAAGUGAACGGAGGUAGGAAGGCUCACGCCUGCACUAUCGACCGAUCCUGAUGUCUUCGGAUGGAUUUGAGUAAGAGCAUAGCUGUUGGGACCCGAAAGAUGGUGAACUAUGCGUGAAUAGGGUGAAGCCAGAGGAAACUCUGGUGGAGGCUCGCAGCGGUUCUGACGUGCAAAUCGAUCGUCAAAUUUGCGUAUAGGGGCGAAAGACUAAUCGAACC
rnacentral:rRNA from 1 species